ensembl:lncRNA CKMT2-AS1 CKMT2 antisense RNA 1
GGCGUCACAGACGGUCUUUACAAGCGACUCGUGGGCGUCAAUACUGGGCUGAGUUUGUGGCGCGCUUAGUGAUGGGAUGGCCCUGUGCAGGACGCCGACACGAAAAGAUGAAGAGUUCAAUCCGUGCUGUCUGAACUCACAGUGUAGCAGGCGAGAUAGACGGGAAGAUCGGUAGGGUGGGAGAUGCCGGAAAGGCUUCCCGUGAGACUGGAUAAGAAAUCAAAAAUCUGGUGAAAUUGCCGGCAAGAGGGAGUUAAGGACAUUCCAGGCAGAGGCAAGUCCAGAUUCCUAAGAUGAGGACACAGCAUCCUGGGCCACUGUCACUAAUACAAAUUUGCCUCUGGAGGGACUCUACGGAAGAUAAUUCCCCUGAAAUUUGGAGAGUUGAAUUAAGCUAGGACUGAUUCUGGCUGGAAUUUGUGGUGGCUACGUACCCUAGAGGGCCUCAAGGAAACCCACGGUUCAAGACAGCCCUGACAGAUUCUGGAGUCUAGAACAGAAAUGGAUUUGAACAUGGGCAAGGCCAACCACCCAGUUCACGGCCUGUGUACAGCAAAGAUUACGUUACAGCCUGAGAGCUAAGCCUGGAAGCUCUUUCAUCCAUCCGUUUGUCCAUCUAUCCAUCCAUCUGCUCAUCCAUCCCUCCAUCUGCUCAACAAACGUUAGAGAAUCAAUCCUUGUGUCAGAUACUGGGGCUGCCCUCAAGGAGCUUUUAUAGAGUUCAGGGUACAGCCAGGUGGGGGAGACAGAUCACUAUAAAAACCUACCACUAUAAUCCAAAGGACAAGAGCAAAAAUAGUAAAGAGGAGAGAAGACCCAAAUUUGCCUGGUGGGUCAGAGAGGGCUUUCUAGAAGAGGUAAAAAAUCUUCGGGGCUAUCACUUCACCUUGCCUGGUGGAUAAAGGGAGGACUUUCCAGAUACAGUGGACAGAAUGUGCAGAGGCAGGAGCCAUGAGUGGCAGAGGCAGGGGAGGGACUGCAGAGACAGGUUGGAGCCAAAGCACGUGGCACUGGAGCCAUAGCCAAAGGAACAAACUGUGAGACCUGGGACUUGAAUUUGGAGGUGGUGAAAAGUGACAAGGUCUUCACAGAAGAGUGAUUUUUUCAACUUAGGGAAGGCUGACCCCAGACCAAUGCUGCCAAAGUGUGGUCUGUGGGCUGUUAGCAGUUCGUGACGAUGUAAGUACAGGAAUUGAGAUUAAGCAUUUAGAACACCUACAGCACUUUGAUAGUCAUUUUACUUUUUAAAUUUUGAGCUGGCAUUUUAUAUGCCUGGUUUUUUUUUGUUUUUGUUUUUUUAUUUUUUUUGAGACAGUCUCGCUCUGUCGCCCAGGCUGGAGUGCAGUGGCGCGAUCUCUGCUCACUGCAAGCUCCGCCUCCCGGGUUCACGCCAUUCUCCUGCCUCAUCCUCCCAAGUAGCUGGGACUGCAGGCGCCUGCCGCCUCGCCCAGCUAAUUUUUUGUAUUUUUAAUAGAGACGGGGUUUCACCAUGUUAGCCAGGAUGGUCUCAAUCUCCUGAUCUCGUGAUCUGCCCGCCUUGGCCUCCCAAAAUGCUGGGAUUACAGGUGUGAGCCACCACGCCCAGCCUUAUUCUCUUUUUCUAAUAGUUGCACUUUAUCAUAUUUUACAAAUGUGUGAGUCUGCUAUGGAUUAGAAAUUAAUAAGAGAUUUUGCCACAGAUAGUUUGAGAAGCCCAGCACUGCCACUCAACAAAUGCUGGUGCAUUCAGAUGGUGAAAUAUUCUGCAGCUAUUAAAGGAGUUAAAACUGCCUCCACUUACCUGGAGGCCCAUCUGUGACACCUUUUUAGGUUAAAAGGAAAAGAAAAACUUGCUUAGGACUGAAUAUGAGCGGUUGCAAUUUGUAACAAUGAUGUAUAUAUACAUAUACAUUUUCAUGUAUUUGUAUGAACAUAAAAGUAUUGAAGGAUAUUCAUCAAACUGCUAAAAGGGUUGCUUCAGAGUAACGGACUCGGAGAAGGCAGAUUAAUUUUCUCUUAAUGGAACUCUGUAUUGUAUCACUUGUAAAAAUAAGCAUGUGUUAUCUUUAUGAUAAAAAAGUAAA